rnacentral:pre_miRNA from 1 species
AGUGGGAUAGCUGGGUCAAAUGGUGGUUCCAUUCCAAGUUUUCUGAGGAAUCUCCAUACUGCUUUCCAUAAAGGUUGCACCAAUUUGCAGUCCCACCAGCAAU